ACAGCUCGGCUGCAGAGAACCUCGGCUCGGACAAGCACAUGCCCAGCUCGGCUGCAGAGAACCUCGGCUCGGACAAGCACAGGCCCAACGGGCACAAGAGAACCGAGCUCGGCUCGGACAAGGAGGGAACAUCCCAACGAGCACAAGAAAACCAAGCUUUACGUAAUAGAAAUAAAAAGGAGGGAAUGGGAAUCGAACCUGUUAUCUCAUCCCCACCCAAACAACACACCAACCACCAAG
rnacentral:lncRNA from 1 species